AGUGAACGCUGGCGGUAGGCCUAACACAUGCAAGUCGAACGGCAGCACAGGAGAGCUUGCUCUCUGGGUGGCGAGUGGCGGACGGGUGAGGAAUACAUCGGAAUCUACUCUGUCGUGGGGGAUAACGUAGGGAAACUUACGCUAAUACCGCAUACGACCUACGGGUGAAAUCAGGGGACCUUCGGGCCUUGCGCGAUUGAAUGAGCCGAUGUCGGAUUAGCUCGUUGGCGGGGUAAAGGCCCACCAAGGCGACGAUACGUAGCUGGUCUGAGAGGAUGAUCAGCCAAACUGGAAAUGAGACACGGUCCAGACUCCUACGGGAGGCAGCAGUGGGGAAUAUUGGACAAUGGGCGCAAGCCUGAUCCAGCCAUACCGCGUGGGUGAAGAAGGCCUUCGGGUUGUAAAGCCCUUUUGUUGGGAAAGAAAUCCAGCUGGCUAAUACCCGGUUGGGAUGACGGUACCCAAAGAAUAAGCACCGGCUAACUUCGUGCCAGCAGCCGCGGUAA
rnacentral:rRNA from 1 species